GACGAACGCUGGCGGCGUGCUUAACACAUGCAAGUCGAACGGAAAGGCCCUGCUUUUGUGGGGUGCUCGAGUGGCGAACGGGUGAGUAACACGUGAGUAACCUGCCCUUGACUUUGGGAUAACUUCAGGAAACUGGGGCUAAUACCGGAUAGGAGCUCCUGCUGCAUGGUGGGGGUUGGAAAGUUUCGGCGGUUGGGGAUGGACUCGCGGCUUAUCAGCUUGUUGGUGGGGUAGUGGCUUACCAAGGCUUUGACGGGUAGCCGGCCUGAGAGGGUGACCGGUCACAUUGGGACUGAGAUACGGCCCAGACUCCUACGGGAGGCAGCAGUGGGGAAUAUUGCACAAUGGGCGGAAGCCUGAUGCAGCAACGCCGCGUGCGGGAUGACGGCCUUCGGGUUGUAAACCGCUUUCGCCUGUGACGAAGCGUGAGUGACGGUAAUGGGUAAAGAGGCACCGGCUAACUACGUG
rnacentral:rRNA from 1 species